rnacentral:misc_RNA from 1 species
AAUUCAUCGGAAUCAGAAUCAAAACUCUCACUUGAAGAUUUCCACCUAACUUCUUCCAUCAAUUCGUAGUCCUCAUCUUUAAUCCCUCCUAAUUCCCUCUUCAAUAUGGCUUCAACUAUUGAAGGAAUCGCCUCUUCAUCCCCCUCGCAGUACUUCUCUAUCCGCCUCUUUAGCUCUGCAACCAUAUCACAUCACACAAAUUUUAAUCCCCCAUAUGUAUUUUCCACCAUUUUCCCACCAGCCAAACAGAAACCAACUAGAACCACAAGCUUUUAAUUCCAUUUUCUUUACCUUGGUUACUCACGCCAUCAACAUCCUCAACUCCACCAUGUUGCUUCUGGGUCCGAGUGAAAUUUUCUUUAUGAGAUAAAUCAGAAUCAGACGAGUAGAAUCUGAGUGUAGAAAGAGUCCAAGAAACAAAUAUAGAUGAUGAUGAGAUAGGAUUUGUUAUGGAUUUUAGAGGAUCGAGAAGAUG